rnacentral:tRNA from 1 species
GUCCCCAUCGUCUAGCUGGUCUAGGACAUCGCCCUUUCACGGCGAAAACAGGGGUUCAAAUCCCCUUGGGGACGCCA